rnacentral:rRNA from 1 species
AUUGAACGCUGGCGGCAGGCCUAACACAUGCAAGUCGAGCGAGCGGCGGACGGGUGAGUAAUUUCUGGGUAACUGCUUGCUGCAUGGGGAUAACUACUAGUAACGGUAGCUUACUCCUCACACCCUCCGAUGUGCCCAGAUGGGAUUAGCUAGUAGGUGAGGUAAUGGCUUACCUAGGCGACGAUCCCUCGCUGGUCUGAGAGGAUGACCAGCCACACUGGAACUGAGACACGGUCCAGACUCCGACGGGAGGCAGCAGUGGGGAAUAUUGCACAAUGGGCGAAAGCCUGAUGCAGCCAUGCCGCGUGUGUGAAGAAGGCCUUCGGGUUGUAAAGCACUUUCAGCGGGGAGGCGUUACCCGCAGAAGAAGCACCGGCUAACUCCGUGCCAGCAGCCGCGGUAAUAC